rnacentral:tRNA from 1 species
AGAGAUUUAGCUCAGUGGCAUAAGCGCCUGCCUUGCAAGCAGGCAGAAGUGAGUUCAAUCCCUG